rnacentral:lncRNA from 1 species
AAAUGACCAAGGCAGGAGGAUUGCUUGAGACCAGCAGUUCUCUGCAAAAAUACAAAAAUAGCCAGAGCUUGCACCACGCAAGACAUUUUACAACCAAUCUGCAUCACAAUAAUCCUGCCAGAUGACAUCACAAUGGUCCUGUCAGGAAGCUGGCUCCAAGGAGGACCUUGACACUGCUUUAAACAAGACCACCAGUUUGCUUAAGGAUUCAACAAGCAGAUCUUGGCAAGGCAAAUUUAUAAGCACUAGUUAAAGGUUAAGAAAAGUUCUGGCGUCCUUAUUGAACCCAAGAGAAGCAGAAAUGCUAGCGUGUAUGACCAUGGACCACUAAGCAAGGAAGUGCUUUUACAGGCCUCAGCGGUGGUGGGAGUCCCAGAGCAGGCUCUUUGCAGGGAAGGAAGCAAAAGGGCGAGAAUAACUGGAGUAGUUUAACAAUGUGAUUGGUUAACUGGGGUUAGGCUCAAUAAAACGCUUUGGGCCUGCUAUUGCUGGGCAGACUAAUUGUACCACAGAGAUUCAGGCCACGUGUGGCAACAGUUGCAGAGUGUUGGUUCUAUUGUGCUGGUUAUUUUCCAGCAGGGACACAUGACGUUUCUCACGACUCCAGUGUCAGCUGUUUAGUGCUGUAGACCCUGUCCUGGGCCAUGCUGUAAUGUUCACAUGAAAUGUACAAGAGUUGAUACGUCUUUUUCACAAGCAAAAUAAUUUUAGAACCAUCAUGAAUUAUUUGUUUUAUCAUAUGCUCAGUUUACAAAUUAACUGGAGUAAUUUUACUCUGCUCUGAAGGUUCUAGCAGAAAACAGAGCUAGGAAUUAUUUCUCCCCC